UAGCACUAAAUUAGAUAAUGCUCAAUUAGAAACCUUUUCAACUCCUCCUCUCUUCUCCGCCCAACGUUUCCGGUGUUCAGCUCACCGGCGGUCAGCUUCUUCAACAGCAGAAUAUCAUGUCCUGUUCGGUUGUCUAAUAUUCAAUAAAGCUCCUUUUCUAAAUAACUUCGCACCAGUUACCUACUGAUUAGCAUCACACAAAGAAGAGGAUUAUCAAUAAAGCGGAUCCACCCAUAAAUUUUCAACAGUGAAGUCGACACUCUCGAGUAAUCAAAAACGCCUUCUUGGUUGCGUAGAUUUGAAGAACUUGAUACCCCCAAUUUGAUUCUUCGUGAACAGAUUAUCUAUCUUCUUAUAUUCUCAGGAACAGAGUUACCGGCUGGCCUUUCAAUUCACUUUCCUUAUCAAUUUCUAAAGCUUCUCAAGUUAAAAGACAAAAUUUUGUACGUACUCAAGGGUUAAGGCGGGACUACAGAAAUAAGAAGACGAUCAGUAUUUGAAUUCCUUUCCACAAGCGACUUCUCUUCUUCAGGACUCCUUAUUGGGGCAUCUGUGCAUCUACUCAUCACAUGCUUAAAUCAUCUCAGUCUCGCCUCCUUCAUUUUGUCCACCAUGGAGGUAUCCCGUGAAAUUAGUCAAGGUGCGCACAAACUGGCCAAAACAUCACUGUUAUCAAAAAUUGUUUUCAUCUUUUGGAUGUUUACUAGGCGCAAAAGAUACAAAGUGGGAGUUAUCCUUAGGAGAAGAACGUAAUGGUUUCUCUGUUCAAGGUAAUAUGAAUGCCACAAUGUUCUUUGAUUUUUCAAAUAUGCUUUAUACAUGGUAUAUUUGUUCGAUAAUCAAUUUGUCCAUUGCUUUCAUGUUUUUAAGUUGUCUUUUUAUUCUGUGUUUUCGUGGAUUGUACUGAUGCCCGAAGGGAUCUUCUCCUGCCUGUGAAAGCACAACCUUUGGAGGAUUAUGUAGAAAAAAUGUUACUAUAACUUUGUACACUAUGCUUUAACCCGUGUAUAGCUGCUCAUCCGAGGAGCUAACGGCUUAUUUACUAAACUUUUUCUGUUACGAAGGAAGUCGAGGAAAGGGGGCCAUAAGAAUCGAACACACACCUGUUGCAUGGAGACUUGAACAGAUACUACUAAGGUAUAAGCCUUGGUAUUAUGAGUAGCUAACAACUCAAGUCCUGGCUUUCUGAUUUAACUCGAAAGUUUGUUGUUUGGGAAGCAAGAUACAUCUAUGACUUACAUACUUCUGUAUAAUUUUAGCAAAGUGCUGCACUUGAGUCUCCUUCAUUUCCAUUGGUAUUUCAUGAGAUUUUCACAUCAAGAGAUUGUGGUGUCCUAUGAACUCAUGUCCUUUCUUAAUCUAGGUUUUAUUUGCUUUUAACUAUCUUUUAACAUUUUCUCUGCUGUUUUUCUCUUAGGAUUUAGCUAAGCUUUCUGCAUAUAGGGACAGAAGGUUUCCAGGAACGCAAGAAGAAUUUGAAGAUGCUUUGUUAAGGUCGAUAGCUGUUUAUAUGGGGAACAUGUCUUUCUACACAACAGAGGAGCAAGUAUAUGAGCUGUUCUCUCGUGCUGGAGAGAUUAAAAAGAUAGUGAUGGGAUUGGAUAAGAAUUCCAAAACUCCUUGUGGAUUCUGCUUUGUAAUGGAUGAGCUGAACUUUCUUUCAGUCUCCAAUUUCUUCCAUUUUGUGUUGCUAACUUUCAAUAUGAUAGUUUCUUCUCCAGUUAUGGUACACCUGCUCCAGGUUAACUAGUUCUCUCUAGUUCUAUUUCUGUCUACUUGUUCAUUAAGGUUUUCAUUUUAUGUAUUUUUACAUUUGUCAUGCCACCUAACAAAUUUAAGAAUCACGUCCUCCAUUUUUAAUCUUUCAAGAUAAUCAGUCAACUGUUACCCGUGGUGUCUUGAUAUUUAGAUGACAAAUUUACAAGGAACUUAAGAAGUAUGCUGAAGAUUAUUAUAGGAGCUGAUACUACAAUCAUUAUAUGUUCAGUAUAGUGUUUAUUAUGAUUUGACGUGCUCUCCUAGCAUAUUAUAUUCAAUCUGAAUCCAUUAGAUGCAAUCAAGACCACAGAGGUUCUCCAAGUGAGGACAAGAUAACUGGUAGAGGCAAGGGAUCAAUAUAAUUUUCUUUUUUUUUGUGGGAAAUUGGCUGUCUUAGAGUACAGCCAAUGACAUGGGCAGAAGGCAAGACAGAUAUCUGCUGAAAAUAGUGGAUGAACCUUGUCUUUUACACGAGGCUGAACAUUGGUUCCAGUUGUUCUUUGGUUCAAACAUACUGCAUGAGUAGAAGAUUCGAUAUACAGGGUUCAAGUUGAGAGGUGCUAUUAAGUUGUGUUGAGAUAGGAUGAUACAGAGGUGGUUGAGAGUGAACAAUGGAUCUAGAUGUAUGAGGAGUGAAUUCUUUUUAUAAGCACCACGAUGGUAUUAGGUGUAUUUUUUUUCUUUUUUGGGAUGAAGGUGUACGUUGUAGUUUGUUACAUCUAUAUCUUUGAGUUUAUCUCCCAUUAGGCCAGUACCCCCUUCCUCUGGUACAAGUGGAAAAAAGCUAAAGCAGAAAACAAAAGAAGGUUAAGGGAAAUAUCUUAACCAAAAAGAAGGUUAGGAGAAGAUCAUUUGCAGCGAUAAUAAUUUCAAAACUAUUUUCAGGUACUACUCCAGAGACGAUGCUGAAGACUCUUGUCAAAUAUAUCAGUGGAACAAUUCUUGAUGAUCCCCCUAUUAGUGUUGAUUUUGAUGGGGAUUUCAAGAAGGUAGGCAAUGGGGCCGUGGUAGGAGUGGUGGACAGGUACGCAUGAAUCGUACCGACUAUGAUCCAGAUAUCC